UACGAAGGGGGCUAGCGUUGCUCGGAAUCACUGGGCGUAAAGGGCGCGUAGGCGGCCAUUCAAGUCGGGGGUGAAAGCCUGUGGCUCAACCACAGAAUUGCCUUCGAUACUGUUUGGCUUGAGUAUGGUAGAGGUUGGUGGAACUGCGAGUGUAGAGGUGAAAUUCGUAGAUAUUCGCAAGAACACCGGUGGCGAAGGCGGCGAGCUGGUCCAUUACUGACGCUGAGGCGCGACAGCGUGGGGGAGCAAACAGG
rnacentral:rRNA from 1 species